rnacentral:rRNA from 1 species
UACGGGGGGUCCAAGCGUUGUUCGGAAUCACUGGGCGUAAAGCGCAUGUAGGUGGCUUUUCAAGUCAACUGUGAAAGCCCCGGGCCUAACCCGGGAAGUGCAGUUGAUACUGUUGAGCUUGAGUACGAGAGAGGAUAGUGGAAUUCCAGGUGUAGCGGUGAAAUGCGUAGAGAUCUGGAGGAAUACCGAUGGCGAAGGCAGCCAUCUGGCCUAACACUGACGCUGAGGUGCGAAAGCAUGGGGAGCAAACAGG